UCCAAUAACCAGAAAAUAGCCCGAUAGUUUCCAAACAAGCUAAUACAGCAUUCCGGAAUUAUUUCACUUUUCUUGGGCACAUAUUUUUUUUCUUUUUGAUGAAUUUGACUCAUGAAAUAACUUUUCCCUUCACCCCUGAAUCAAAUCAACGACUGGUACAAUCCUGUUGUCAUCCUCCAUGAACCAAUUAGCCUGCUAGCUAAUGAAAGGACAAUCAAAAUCUAUAUUUUAUCCUUAUUCUGUUUGAAUUGCGAUUGAACUGUUUCCUUCUCCUGCCCAAAAAUGACACAGUCUUCUUGUCUGAUACGUCAUAUUUUGUUGAAGGCAUGUAUUUUGUCGUUUUGCCGUGUAACCUUCACCCCAGACUCCAAAAAGUCAAUGGUAUGACCCUGUUGGCAUCAUCCAGGAACCAAGAAGUAGCCUGUGAGCUAACAGACUGUGACAGACAGACUUUUUACACUUUUAUUAGCGGAAUUUAUUUUAUCCUUUUGCUAUUUGUGUGACAGUGAAACUGUUCUCUCCUCAAUUUCCCCCCAAAAUGGUACAGUCCUAAUGGGCUGAGUCGUCGUCUGUGAACCAGGAAGUCGCCUGCUACCCAACAUUUGGACAUCAUCACAACAAAGUUUUCUUGGAUAUGACCCGAAACCAGUCUCCGAUCAUGCUGAGAACUGCAGCGAAAUAGGCCAGGCCCACCAGGAUCCAGAACCACACCACAGAGGCUGAACGAGGAGAGGAAGGAUGAACUGGGCUUACCGAUGGUGGUGAUGACAGUUCCCGCAAAGAAAAAGGAUGAGCUGAGGUCCCACAGGCUCGUCUGGUUGAAGGAAUUUCCCGACGGGUUCACACCUGCUCGAACCGCAGAAACCACUUGCUGGAGCGAGGAAAUUAAGAACAAAAUAGAGAGGAACAACAAUAGAUUGACGGCCGUUAUUAGUGCAUGUGCAGAAGAUUGGCAGUGUGCAUCAAUUCUCACAAGGAAAUAGCGCCUUCAAAUGUCCCACCCUACCUUGACCAGAUCCUCCAGCUCUGAGGAGUUGACACAGGCGUGCACGGCCAAGAACUCCAGCUUCUCCGCAAGGAUGGCCAGUUUCUGGGAGCUCUCGUGCGGCUGCUCCAGUUCCCGGAACACCGUGGCGCCGAUGAUGAGAUACAGCACAACCAGGAAGAAGAUGGCCGACACGGUUUUCCACCUCAUGACGGUGGUGCGGGUGUCACACUCGUCGUCGUCCGGGCACGUCAGCACCACCGGCUUGGCCGAGAACGACAAGCGGGGCUUGGAGUUCUGGGCGGCGGACUUAGGGUCAAGGAGGUCAGGUGCGGCCACUGGGGGGACGGAACUGAUUAAUAAUGUGGAUCAAUUUAUCAUCCAUUAAUGGACACUCUGCCACACCAGAUGGUGCUUUUUCUUCUAUAUUUCAUACAGAGCAGUGAUUUUUUUUUCUCGUAAAUUUCCAACUUCAUUCUUGUAAUAUUACCACUUUCUCUCAUAAAUUUAUGACUUGAUUUCUGUAACAUUAACAGCGUUUUGUCAUAAAUUUCCCACUUUAUUCUCAUAAUAUUAUGAGUUAUUUGUCGUAAAUUCACAACUUUAUUCUCGUAAUAUUAACAUUUUUUCUUGCAAAUUUCCAACUUUAUUUCUGUAAUUUUUGUUGUACAUGUAAACAACUUUCAUUCAUGUAAUAUUAUAUGACUAUUAUAAAUUUACAACUUUCUCAUAAUAUUAUGAGUUACUUGUUGUAAAUUUGCCACUUUAUUCUCGUAAUAUUAACAUUUUUUCCUCGCUAAUUUCCAACUUUAUUUCUGUAAUUUUUGUCAUACAUGUACAACUUUGUUCAUGCAAUAUUAUGACUUUAUUGUAAAUUUACGACUUUACU